rnacentral:lncRNA from 1 species
UUUCUAGAACAAACAGACAGAGACAGAGAUGGAUCGAGAGCGAUCUAUUGCAAUCCUUUGUUCUUUGGCAUUUGGAUUUCCGACCAAGUUGUCAAAGCUAUUUUAUCCUAUAUUUACUGCUAUAGGAAAACCACGGUACUCCGCCAUUGUCUCAUUUUCAUUUCUCCUCAUCCAAUAGUUUAUGGAGGUAUUUAUAAAUGGCUUAUAAAAAAAUACAUCCUGCAAAUAAAAUGACAAUAUAUCAUAUAUUUACCUAUAGUAAAUUUUAAUUUGUUCACGUAUGGUCUCCCUCGACAGUUGAUAGAGUAUUCAAUUCCAAAAGACCAUCAACUGUUGAGGGAGACCAUACGGGAACAAAUUAAAAUUUACUGUGGGUAAGUAUGCCAUUUUAUUUACUCGAUGGAAUUUUUUACUGAUUAUGAUUUAUGUAAUAUUUUAUUUUAUUUUAUAUAAAUUAUCCAACUGAUAAAUACCUCUAUAAACUAUUUGACAAGGAUAAAAUAUAACUGUAAUGAAACAAUUAAUCAUUGUAAUGGAUAUUUAAUUUAAUUUUUUAAUUUUAAUUGAAUAUAGUUUUUUUAUUAAAUAAAAAUUGAUAUAUUUGACGCAAAUUCCGCCAAUAUUACUUUUGGAGGAAAAUUAUUUUUGCCCCACUAAUUUGUAUUUUCAUGGCAAAGAAAAUUAAAUAUGAUAGACCUUUAACCAAAAUUCCCCUGAUAAAAUUGGAAGUAGGAAUGUAAUAAUAAUAUACACGAUUAUGAUGAGGUGACAAUAAUAUACACGAUUCGUAAAAAAAUACGACAGAACACGAUUUUAACACGACACGUUUAUAAUAGUGUCGAAAGUUUUGAUACGAUUAAUAAUAGUAUCAGUUUAGUGUUUACCUAUAAAAACACGACACGAUUCAAUGAAACCGUAAAUUGAUAUGACACGAUUACAUAACACGAAAAUAUAAUAUAAUAUUAUUAAUUAACUAUGUUUAAUAUUUAUGUAAUAAGGGUAAAAUAAUAUUUUUAUUUAAAACCUUUUAAAUUCUAUAUAAAAUAUUGUAACCAUAAAAUAUUAUAACCAUAAAAUAAUAUUAGUAAAAUAAUAAUUAUAUAAUAAGGAUAAAAUAAUAAAAAUGUACUCAUAGAUAAUAAUAAUUAUUAAAAUAGUGUCGUGUUCGUGUUACACUAAUUGUCAGGUAAGAACUACCGACGUGACGUCUCAGCUGGUCUAGGGAAAGGGUUUAAAAAAUAUAUAUAAUGAUGAUGAUUAAUAAUUAAUAUUUAGUAUGAUUAAUGACUCAUUAAAGAAUUAAACCAUUAAUGUAUUUAGAUUAUACUCACUUUACCAUUUAAGUAUUAUAAAAUAUAAAUAAAUAUUAUAAAAUAAUAAAAAUAUAUCAAAUGAGGCUGAGUGCCUGAGUCUGUUAAUGAGGUUGGAUUCAACCAUCACCACCUGACGGUGAGUCACUGGAAUUUGGACAUUUAGAAGAAUUAAUAUCAUUAGUUUACGACAUACAGAUAAAAAUGAAAAAAAUUAGUUUUUUUUUCAUUUCUCGUAUAAACUAUAUCUUUGAAAAACUCUCGUGUCGUCUACACAAAUAAAUAAUUUUUUAAUAUUUUUAUUACUGAAUCAAUCUAAAUUAAUUCUGCAUGAUUUCUGAUUUUUUUUCUUUAUUUUUAAAUUCGAGUUAAUUUUUUAAUCAUAGUUAAUUAAUAGUCUUUUCAUUAUUAAUAGUCUUUUCAAUUUUAAUCUUUUCAUUAUUAAUUUGAUUGUUAAAUUUUUCUUUUAUUUAAAUUUGACAUCUCAAAUAAAAUAAAUAGAGACAUUUAAAUUAUGUCACUACAUUGGACUUGGUGGAGGAUCAUAUGAUGAGUCGAGCACUGCUUCUACCAGAUUUUCAGUUGAAAUGAAUGUAAGAUCUUUUGAGAAAGAAAAAGAAAAAAUAGAUGAUCAAAUGGAGAAGAUACUAGAGGUAUGUGUAUGAUAAUAUAUAUGAAAUUUUAAACUAAUACAUAAAUAUUAAUGAAUCUUAAAUGUUUUACAGAAUAAUCGAUAUUUUAAAAAGAAAUAUGAGGAAAUUUUUGAUAUGUAUCAAGACAUGAUAAAAACAUUUAUAUCACAUUCAAAUACAACUCCAUAACCUUCAGAUCAUGGAUCAUUGCAAGAUAAAAGUAAUGCAGGUCAGAGUGAUCAAAGAUAUCAAACUCCUCCA